rnacentral:rRNA from 1 species
UACGUAGGGGGCAAGCGUUGUUCGGAAUUACUGGGCGUAAAGCGUGCGCAGGCGGUUAUUUAAGUCAGGUGUGAAAGCCCUGGGCUUAACCUAGGAAUUGCGCUUGAGACUGGAUAGCUUGGAGUGCGGCAGAGGGGGAUGGAAUUCCGCGUGUAGCAGUGAAAUGCGUAGAUAUGCGGAGGAACACCGAUGGCGAAGGCAAUCCCCUGGGCCUGCACUGACGCUCAUGCACGAAAGCGUGGGGAGCAAACAGG